rnacentral:tRNA from 2 species
GCCCAGAUGGCGGAAUUGGUAGACGCGCUAGAUUCAGGGUCUAGUGGCCUUACGGUCGUGGAAGUUCGAGUCUUCUUCUGGGCACCA